AGUUUCAAGUUUCUUGGCCAAGAUGUCAUCAUUGGCUCCUUGCUUCACUGUGGGCUCAAUAGUGCGCUGCAAGACUUGUUUUGGCGACAACGUUUCGGGAGAAGUUGUGGCCUUCGAUCUGGGCGUGAAAAUGCUGAUAAUGAAGUGUCCAUCGAGCAAUGGCGGUGGCGACGAACAGACCACUUGCAAUGUGACCAUUGUGAAUCUAUCCCUGUGCAUGGACAUUGAAAUAGUGAAGGAAACAAUGCCGCCGGCUGAAGUUCAGCAGCCGGAACCGAUUGAUAUAACCAUGAUCCGAGAACGAUACCGAUACGCAACCGAACAUCGUACUCUCUCCUGCCGGAGCUAUCAUCCCAAUGUCUCGCCCUUCGGACAAGCUUUGUUUAGGGUGUUGGUCAAGGGUUUCGGCGAUUCCGCAAUCAACUGGCAGGACCAAGGCGACCAAGUGGCGAUCAAUAUACUCCAUCAGGUGGUCAUCCAUGCGCCUUAUGCCACGGAGAAUAUUCGGUACCAGAGCUGGAAUCCCAAGCUAGCGAUAUACGUCCGAGGGGUCGUUCAAAGCAUUUGCAGUAAACAAUUCUAGAAGGACGGCCGUGCCCAUGGCAACAGUUGUCUAGAUAGCAUCCAAUUCUCUGUCAUACCCACUGACAUCGAGAACGAGUACUUCGACAGCAUACUCCUCUCGCAGUUGGACGCCUGGCUGGAGCAGGCCAAGCUCAUGCCCAA